rnacentral:rRNA from 1 species
CCUACGGGGGGCUGCAGUGAGGAAUAUUGGUCAAUGGGCGGAAGCCUGAACCAGCCAAGUAGCGUGCAGGAUGACGGCCCUACGGGUUGUAAACUGCUUUUAUACGGGAAUAACGCGCCUUACGUGUAGGGCUUUGCAUGUACCGUAUGAAUAAGGACCGGCUCAUUCCGUGCCAGAAGCCGCGGUAAUACGGAAGGUCCGGGGUUUAUCCGGAUUUAUUGGGUUUAAAGGGAGCGUAGGCCGCAUGUCAAGCGUGCGGUGAAAUGUCCGGGCUCAAGCCGGGCCUUGCAGCGCGAAAUGGCGUGCUUGAGUCCGCGGAAAGCAGGCGGAAUUCGUCGUGUAGCGGUGAAAUGCUUAGAUAUGACGAAGAACCCCGAUUGCGAAGGCAGCUUGCUGCAGCGGAACUGACGCUGAUGCUCGAAAGCGCGGGUAUCGAACAGGAUUAGAUACCCGAGUAGUC